GCGAGUAUGUAUCCAUUUCUUCCCUGCCGUUGUUCCUCUCUGUCUCCGAAUCCCCGGAAUCCCAGCACCGGUGACUGCGGCUAAGGGACGCCGGAGCCGACACAAGCGGGGAGCUGCGCCCGCGCCCGCGGUGAGCUGUGCGCAUGGAGCGGCCGGCAUGCGGUGGAGGCUGUUUGCGCCCUCAGAUCGACAGCAACGCGCGGAGGAAACGCGCUAGCCCCGGUGAGAAUGUGGUGCUGGAACCGGCAUGGGGAUUUGCUUCAACCUGCGAGGAUGGUGAUGGCCGGCGACAACGGUGGCUGUGGACAAGCAAGGCGGCGGGUGCCAUGAUUUUUGCCGCACAGUUUUUUUGUUGGAACCAGCAUUUUGACUUGCUACAAUCGGCAAGGAUGGUGCUGGGGCGGCUAUGACGGCGGCACCAUGCUUUUUUUCUGCAUUGUUAUUUUCAUUUUUGCUAGAGCUAUAUCAUUUUUUGUUGGAACCACGUGUGUUUUUUGCUGGAACCAUAUCAAUGUAUUUUCGCUGGAAUCAUAGCAUUUUUGCUGCAACCACUUUAUUGUUUGCUGGAGGCAUAUCAUUUUUUUGCUA